rnacentral:rRNA from 1 species
CAGUAGCCGCGGGAAUACGUAGGUGGCAAGCGUUAUCCGGAAUUAUUGGGCGUAAAGCGCGCGUAGGCGGUUUCUUAAGUCUGAUGUGAAAGCCCACGGCUCAACCGUGGAGGGUCAUUGGAAACUGGGAAACUUGAGUGCAGAAGAGGAAAGUGGAAUUCCAUGUGUAGCGGUGAAAUGCGCAGAGAUAUGGAGGAACACCAGUGGCGAAGGCGACUUUCUGGUCUGUAACUGACGCUGAUGUGCGAAAGCGUGGGGAUCAAACAGGAUUAGAUACCCGUGUAGUCCCUGUCUCUUAUAC